GACGAACCGUGCGAACGUUGUUCGGAAUCACUGGGCUUAAAGGGCGCGUAGGCGGACUGGCCAGUCUGUGGUGAAAGCCCCCGGCUCAACCGGGGAAGUGCCGCGGAUACUGCCAGUCUGGAGGAGGGUAGGGGCGUCUGGAACGGUCGGUGGAGCGGUGAAAUGCGUUGAUAUCGACCGGAACUCCGGUGGCGAAGGCGAGGCGCUGGACCCUUUCUGACGCUGAGGCGCGAAAGCCAGGGGAGCGAACGGG
rnacentral:rRNA from 1 species